AUUGAACGCUGGCGGCAGGCCUAACACAUGCAAGUCGAGCGGAUGAAGGGAGCUUGCUCCUGGAUUCAGCGGCGGACGGGUGAGUAAUGCCUAGGAAUCUGCCUGGUAGUGGGGGAUAACGUCCGGAAACGGGCGCUAAUACCGCAUACGUCCUGAGGGAGAAAGUGGGGGAUCUUCGGACCUCACGCUAUCAGAUGAGCCUAGGUCGGAUUAGCUAGUUGGUGGGGUAAAGGCCUACCAAGGCGACGAUCCGUAACUGGUCUGAGAGGAUGAUCAGUCACACUGGAACUGAGACACGGUCCAGACUCCUACGGGAGGCAGCAGUGGAGAAUAUUGGACAAUGGGCGAAAGCCUGAUACAGCCAUGCCGCGUGUGUGAAGAAGGUCUUCGGAUUGUAAAGCACUUUAAGUUGGGAGGAAGGGCAGUAAGUUAAUACCUUGCUGUUUUGACGUUACCAACAGAAUAAGCACCGGCUAACCUCG
rnacentral:rRNA from 1 species